rnacentral:rRNA from 1 species
UAGGGAAUCUUCGGCAAUGGACGAAAGUCUGACCGAGCAACGCCGCGUGAGUGAAGAAGGUCUUCGGGUCGUAAAACUCUGUUGUCAGAGAAGAACAAGGACGUUAGUAACUGAACGUCCCCUGAUGGUACCUUACCAGAAAGCCCCGGCUAACUACGUGCCAGCAGCCGCGGUAAUACGUAGGUGGCAAGCGUUGUCCGGAUUUAUUGGGCGUAAAGCGAGCGCAGGCGGUUUCUUAAGUCUGAUGUGAAAGCCCCCGGCUCAACCGGGGAAGGUCAUUGGAAACUGGGAGACUUGAGUGCAGAAGAGGAGAGUGGAAUUCCAUGUGUAGCGGUGAAAUGCGUAGAUAUUUGGAGGAACACCAGUGGCGAAGGCGGCUCUCUGGUCUGUAACUGACGCUGAGGCUCGAAAGUGUGGGGAGCAAACAGG